rnacentral:lncRNA from 1 species
AUGUUGCCCACUCUCUGUGUGGUCUCUGUUUUGCAACUGGUCGUCGGCGUCAUGAGACUUAGGUCCAAGCGACUGCUCAGACAAUGCCUGGCCCCGCAUACCGAGCAGAGCAUGAUCAGCAGCAGCCUAAGUGGAAGAGUGCCUGUGAUCCUAGGAAACCUGAUGGGCGCUGGAGCAGCGAUUCGACGCGUGGGUUUCUCUUUAAUCCUUCCGACUUCCCCAAGCCCCGCGCACUCAGGUUCCGCUCCAAGUGCGGGACCCGCCCGGGGUGUGUCGGGGGUACUCGGCCGGAGGCGGCCGGAACCCCAGCAUGUGAAUUGGACUUUAUCCCCCAGUUGGAGGAAGAAUAACAGUAGAUGUUGGAUCUUCAGGAAAGCUGAAGAGGGCAGUGCCUCUACUGUCUAGAUAGAGGGAUUUGACCUGAACCAAAGCAUCAACACCAAUCAGACUUUUUCCAAAAAAC